rnacentral:rRNA from 1 species
UACAGAGGUCUCAAGCGUUGUUCGGAUUCAUUGGGCGUAAAGGGUGUGUAGGUGGCCCGCUAAGUCACACGUGAAAUCCCUCAGCUUAACUGGGGAACUGCGUGUGAGACUGGCAGGCUCGAGGGCAGGAGAGGAACGCGGAAUUCCAGGUGUAGCGGUGAAAUGCGUAGAUAUCUGGAGGAACACCGGUGGCGAAGGCGGCGUUCUGGACUGUCUCUGACACUGAAGAACGAAAGCCAGGGGAGCAAACGGG